rnacentral:rRNA from 1 species
GGCUUAGCCCUAAACCAAACAAUCAAACAACAAGACUGUUCGCCAGAGAACUACUAGCAAUAGCUUAAAACUCAAAGGACUUGGCGGUGCUUUAUAUCCAUCUAGAGGAGCCUGUUCUAUAAUCGAUACACCCCGAUCAACCUCACCACUUCUUGCUAAUUCCGCCUAUAUACCGCCAUCUUCAGCAAACCCUUAAAAGGCAUAGUAGUAAGCCCAAACAUCUUACAUAAAAACGUUAGGUCAAGGUGUAGCUUAUGGAGUGGAAAGAAAUGGGCUACAUUUUCUAAAAAUAGAAUACUUUUACGAAAACCCCUAUGAAACUAGAGGCUAAAGGAGGAUUUAGUAGUAAGCCAAGAAUAGAGUGCUUGACUGAAUA